rnacentral:rRNA from 1 species
CAGUCGCCGCGGUAAUACGUAGGUGGCAAGCGUUGUCCGGAAUUAUUGGGCGUAAAGGGCUCGCAGGCGGUUUCUUAAGUCUGAUGUGAAAGCCCCCGGCUCAACCGGGGAGGGUCAUUGGAAACUGGGAAACUUGAGUGCAGAAGAGGAGAGUGGAAUUCCACGUGUAGCGGUGAAAUGCGUUGAGAUCGGAAAGAACACCAACGGCGAAAGCACUCUGCUGGGCCGACACUGACACUGAGAGACGAAAGCUAGGGGAGCAAAUGGGAUUAGAUACCCCUGUAGUCCCUGUCUCUUAUAA